rnacentral:rRNA from 1 species
UUAAGUUGCAGGGUAUAGACCCGAAACCCGGUGAUCUAGCCAUGGGCAGGUUGAAGGUUGGGUAACACUAACUGGAGGACCGAACCGACUAAUGUUGAAAAAUUAGCGGAUGACUUGUGGCUGGGGGUGAAAGGCCAAUCAAACCGGGAGAUAGCUGGUUCUCCCCGAAAGCUAUUUAGGUAGCGCCUCGUGAAUUCAUCUCCGGGGGUAGAGCACUGUUUCGGCAAGGGGGUCAUCCCGACUUACCAACCCGAUGCAAACUGCGAAUACCGGAGAAUGUUAUCACGGGAGACACACGGCGGGUGCUAACGUCCGUCGUGAAGAGGGAAACAACCCAGACCGCCAGCUAAGGUCCCAAAGUCAUGGUUAAGUGGGAAACGAUGUGGGAAGGCCCAGACAGCCAGGAUGUUGGCUUAGAAGCAGCCAUCAUUUAAAGAAAGCGUAAUAGCUCACUGGUCGAGUCGGCCUGCGCGGAAGAUGUAACGGGGCUAAACCAUGCACCGAAGCUGCGGCAGCGACACUGUGUGUUGUUGGGUAGGGGAGCGUUCUGUAAGCCUGUGAAGGUGUGCUGUGAGG